GCCUACUAAGCUCAGCGGCAGAGCACGCCACUCGUAUAUCCUGGUUACCUUGUACUUACAAUGGUGAGGUCUGUUGUUCAUUGAAAUCCAACCAGUGGGCA